GGCCUACACAUGCAAGUCGAGCGGUAAGGCCUUUCGGGGUACACGAGCGGCGAACGGGUGAGUAACACGUGGGUGAUCUGCCCUGCACUUCGGGAUAAGCCUGGGAAACUGGGUCUAAUACCGGAUAUGACCUCCUAUCGCAUGGUGGGUGGUGGAAAGAUUUAUCGGUGCAGGAUGGGCCCGCGGCCUAUCAGCUUGUUGGUGGGGUAAUGGCCUACCAAGGCGACGACGGGUAGCCGACCUGAGAGGGUGACCGGCCACACUGGGACUGAGACACGGCCCAGACUCCUACGGGAGGCAGCAGUGGGGAAUAUUGCACAAUGGGCGAAAGCCUGAUGCAGCGACGCCGCGUGAGGGAUGACGGCCUUCGGGUUGUAAACCUCUUUCAGCAGGGACGAAGCGCAAGUGACGGUACCUGCAGAAGAAGCACCGGCUAACUACGUGCCAGCAGCCGCGGUAAUACGUAGGGUGCAAGCGUUGUCCGGAAUUACUGGGCGUAAAGAGUUCGUAGGCGGUUUGUCGCGUCGUUUGUGAAAACCAGCAGCUCAACUGCUGGCUUGCAGGCGAUACGGGCAGACUUGAGUACUGCAGGGGAGACUGGAAUUCCUGGUGUAGCGGUGAAAUGCGCAGAUAUCAGGAGGAACACCGGUGGCGAAGGCGGGUCUCUGGGCAGUAACUGACGCUGAGGAACGAAAGCGUGGGUAGCGA
rnacentral:rRNA from 1 species